GGUUUAGCUUAGUUGGUAGAGUAUUUGCCUAGUGUACACAAAGCCCUGGGUUUCAUACCCAGCACCA
rnacentral:tRNA from 1 species